GACGAACGCUGGCGGCGUGCCUAAUACAUGCAAGUCGAGCGAAUGGAUUAAGAGCUUGCUCUUAUGAAGUUAGCGGCGGACGGGUGAGUAACACGUGGGUAACCUGCCCAUAAGACUGGGAUAACUCCGGGAAACCGGGGCUAAUACCGGAUAACAUUUUGAACCGCAUGGUUCGAAAUUGAAAGGCGGCUUCGGCUGUCACUUAUGGAUGGACCCGCGUCGCAUUAGCUAGUUGGUGAGGUAACGGCGCACCAAGGCAACGAUGCGUAGCCGACCUGAGAGGGUGAUCGGCCACACUGGGACUGAGACACGGCCCAGACGCCUACGGGAGGCAGCAGUAGGGAAUCUUCCGCAAUGGACGAAAGUCUGACGGAGCAACGCCGCGUGAGUGAUGAAGGCUUUCGGGUCGUAAAACUCUGUUGUUAGGGAAGAACAAGUGCUAGUUGAAUAAGCUGGCACCUUGACGGUACCUAACCAGAAAGCCGCGGCUAACUACGUGCCAGCAGCCGCUGUAA
rnacentral:rRNA from 1 species